rnacentral:misc_RNA from 1 species
GAUGAAGAACGUAGCGAAAUGCGAUAAGUAAUGUGAAUUGCAGAAUUCAGUGAAUCAUCGAAUCUUUGAACGCACAUUGCGCCCGCUAGUAUUCUGGCGGGCAUGCCUGUCCGAGCGUCAUUUCAACCCUCAAGCCCCCGGGCUUGGUGUUGGGGAUCGGCGAGCCUCCGCGCCCGCCGUCCCCUAAAUCUAGUGGCGGUCUCGCUGUAGCUUCCUCUGCGUAGUAGCACACCUCGCACUGGGAAACAGCGCGGCCACGCCGUUAAACCCCCAACUUCUGAACGUUUGACCUCGGAUGAGGUAGGAAUACCCGCUGAACUUAAGCAUAUCAAUAAGCGGAGGA